UACGUAGGGAGCAAGCGUUGUUCGGAUUUAUUGGGCGUAAAGAGCUCGUAGGCGGUCUGUUGCGUCGGCUGUGAAAACCCGGGGCUCAACUCCGGGCCUGCAGCCGAUACGGGCAGACUAGAGUUCGGCAGGGGAGACUGGAAUUCCUGGUGUAGCGGUGAAAUGCGCAGAUAUCAGGAGGAACACCGGUGGCGAAGGCGGGUCUCUGGGCCGAUACUGACGCUGAGGAGCGAAAGCGUGGGGAGCGAACAGG
rnacentral:rRNA from 1 species